rnacentral:rRNA from 1 species
AUUGAACGCUGGCGGCAGGCCUAACACAUGCAAGUCGAGCGGAUGAAGGGAGCUUGCUCCUGGAUUCAGCGGCGGACGGGUGAGUAAUGCCUAGGAAUCUGCCUGGUAGUGGGGGAUAACGUCCGGAAACGGGCGCUAAUACCGCAUACGUCCUGAGGGAGAAAGUGGGGGAUCUUCGGACCUCACGCUAUCAGAUGAGCCUAGGUCGGAUUAGCAAGUUGGUGGGGUAAAGGCCUACCAAGGCGACGAUCCGUAACUGGUCUGAGAGGAUGACCAGUCACACUGGAACUGAGACACGGUCCAGACUCCUACGGGAGGCAGCAGUGGGGAAUAUUGGACAAUGGGCGAAAGCCUGAUCCAGCCAUGCCGCGUGUGUGAAGAAGGUCUUCGGAUUGUAAAGCACUUUAAGUUGGGAGGAAGGGCAGUAAGUUAAUACCUUGCUGUUUUGACGUUACCAACAGAAUAAGCACCGGCUAACUUCGUG